rnacentral:tRNA from 1 species
AACAAGACGGAAGAGAGUCACUCUUACCGUCGUGCAUACCUUAAGCGGGUCUGCCGCCUUCGUUUCUCUUUCUUCGCGAAUGACUAACCUCCCUUUGGCUCUGCCCACAAGGCGUGCCUUGCCGGUGCAAAUGGUGCCAGCAGGGUUCGGUUUAGGGCUUGUAGCUCAGUUGGUUAGAGCGCGCGCUUGAUAAGCGUGAGGUCGGAGGUUCAAGUCCUCCCAGGCCCACCAUUUCCUCGACAAAAGGUAUCAGGGGCCGUAGCUCAGCUGGGAGAGCGCCUGCUUUGCAAGCAGGAUGUCGUCGGUUCGAUCCCGUCCGGCUCCACCAUCUUUCUUCCCUAGGGAGAAGAGGGUGUCGAGUGGAUGUGAAACCGGUUGCAAGGUCAUUCGUUAUAAAGUUUGCGGCGAGCCUCUGGCUCUCCGCCUGUUCUGUAUGACAUCGUAAAGAGAAGAUUUGUUCGAACUUCAUGUCCCAAAAGGAGGUGAUCCAGCCACAAAGACGCUCAAUCUCCCGCAUAUGAUGGGUUUGCCUAACCGCACCCUCGAACCGAUCUCGAGAAGCUGGUCUUUUUGUG